rnacentral:rRNA from 1 species
CAAUACAGAUGGCGCACGGCGCACGGGUGCGUAACACGUGGGUAAUCUGCCCUUCGAUGGGGAAUAACUCCGGGAAACCGAAGCUAAUUCCGCAUAACAUUCCUUGAACUUCGGUUUAAGGAUUCAAAGCCGUAAGGCGUCGGAGGAGGAACCCGCGCACGAUUAGCUAGUUGGUAGGGUAACGGCCUACCAAGGCUUUGAUCGUUAGCUGGUCUGAGAGGAUGGCCAGCCACACUGGAACUGAGACACGGUCCAGACUCCUACGGGAGGCAGCAGUGGGGAAUCUUGCACAAUGGGCGAAAGCCUGAUGCAGCGACGCCGCGUGGGGGAUGAAGCUUCUCGGAGUGUAAACCCCUUUCGACCCGGACGAAUACCUCGCAAGAGGGGUGACGGUACGGGUAUAAGAAGCCCCGGCUAACUACGUGCCAGCAGCCGCGGUAAGACGUGGGGGGCCAGCGUUGCUCGGAAUUACUGGGUGUAAAGGGUUCGUAGGCGGUGUAGCAAGUCGGGAGUGAAAUCUCUGGGCUCAACCCAGAGACUGCUUCCGAAACUGCUGUGCUUGAGUGUGGGAGAGGCGCGUGGAAUUGCAGGUGUAGCGGUGAAAUGCGUAGAUAUCUGCAGGAACACCCGUGGCGAAAGCGGCGCGCUGGACCACUACUGACGCUGAGGAACGAAAGCUAGGGGAGCAAACAGGAUUAGAUACCCUGGUAGUCCUAGCCCUAAACGAUCAGGACUUGGGGUGCCGCACGUUCGUGCGUCGUCCCGGAGCUAACGCGUUAAGUCCUGCACCUGGGGAGUACGGUCGCAAGACUGAAACUC